GAAAGUGCUUCCUUUUAGAGGC
rnacentral:miRNA from 1 species